UACGGAGGAUCCAAGCGUUAUCCGGAUUUAUUGGGUUUAAAGGGUGCGUAGGCGGCUUAUUAAGUCAGGGGUGAAAGACGGUGGCUCAACCACCGCAGUGCCUUUGAUACUGAUGAGCUUGAAUACACUUGAGGUAGGCGGAAUGUGACAAGUAGCGGUGAAAUGCAUAGAUAUGUCACAGAACACCAAUUGCGAAGGCAGCUUACUAAGGUGCAAUUGACGCUGAGGCACGAAAGCGUGGGGAUCAAACAGG
rnacentral:rRNA from 1 species